rnacentral:rRNA from 1 species
ACGAGUGCGUGUGUCAGCCGCCGCGGUAAUACGGAGGGUGCGAGCGUUGUCCGGAUUUAUUGGGUUUAAAGGGUGCGUAGGUGGCUGUUUAAGUCAGUGGUGAAAUACGGUUGCUCAACAAUCGAGGUGCCAUUGAUACUGAAUAGCUUGAAAUAAUUGGAGGCUGCCGGAAUGGAUGGUGUAGCGGUGAAAUGCAUAGAUAUCAUCCAGAACACCGAUUGCGAAGGCAGGUGGCUACGAUUGGUUUGACACUGAGGCACGAAAGCAUGGGGAGCAAACAGGAUUAGAUACCCUGGUAGUCCAUGCUGUAAACGAUGAGGACUCGCUGUUUGAUGGCAACAUUGAGCGGCUUAGGGGAAACCGUUAAGUCCUCCACCUGGGGAGUACGUUCGCAAGAAUGAAACUCAAAGGAAUUGACGGG